rnacentral:rRNA from 1 species
UGGGGAAUUGUUCGCAAUGGGCGCAAGCCUGACGACGCAACGCCGCGUGGAGGAUGAAGAUCUUCGGGUCGUAAACUCCUGUCGAAUGGGACGAACGGAUUGCGGGAUAACACCUCGCAGUCGUGACGGUACCGUUAAAGGAAACCCCGGCUAACUCCGUGCCAGCAGCCGCGGUAAUACGGGGGGGGUAAGCGUUGUUCGGAAUUACUGGGCGUAAAGGGCUCGUAGGCGGCCAACUAAGUCAGACGUGAAAUCCCUCAGCUUAACUGGGGAACUGCGUCUGAUACUGGAUGGCUUGGAUUCGGGAGAGGAAUGCGGAAUUCCAGGUGUAGCGGUGAAAUGCGUAGAUAUCUGGAGGAACACCGGUGGCGAAGGCGGCAUUCUGGACCGACAUUGACGCUGAGGAGCGAAAGCCAGGGGAGCAA